rnacentral:rRNA from 1 species
UCUCAGAAAGGGACGCUAAUACCGCAUUGACAUCCUGCCUUUGAACAGGUGGAGAUCAAAGCCGGGGUCGCAAGACCUGGCGCUUGAAGAGGGGCCCACGCCCGAUUAGCUAGUUGGUGAGGUAACGGCCUACCAAGGCGACGAUCGGUAGCCGGCCUUAGAGGGCGGACGGCCACACUGGGACUGAGACACGGCCCAGACUCCUACGGGAGGCACCAGUGGGGAAUUGUUCGCAAUGGGCGCAGGCCUGACGACUCAACGCCGCGUGGAGGAUGAAGAUCUUCGGGUCGUAAA